UGAGGAAUAUUGGGCAAUGCCCGAAAGGGUGACCCAGCAACGCCGCGUGGAGGAUGAAAGCCGUAAGGUUGUAAACUCCUUUUGAAGAGGAAGAACAUUUCCGAUCGACUCGGAAACUGACUGUACUCUUAGAAGAAGCCCCGGCUAACUACGUGCCAGCAGCCGCGGUAAUACGUAGGGGGCAAGCGUUGUCCGGAUUUACUGGGUGUAAAGGGCGCGUAGGCGGGUUUGUAAGUUAGAGGUGAAAUCCUGCAGCUUAACUGUAGAACUGCCUCUGAUACUGCAAAUCUUGAGUUCAGAAGAGAGUGGCGGAAUUCCAGGUGUAGUGGUGAAAUACGUAGAUAUCUGGAAGAACACCAGUGGCGAAGGCGGCUACUUGGUCUGCAACUGACGCUGAGGCGCGAAAGCGUGGGGAUCAAACAGG
rnacentral:rRNA from 1 species